rnacentral:rRNA from 1 species
GAGUUUGAUCCUGGCUCAGAUUGAACGCUGGCGGCAUGCUUUACACAUGCAAGUCGGACGGCAGCGGGCCCUUCGGGGUGCCGGCGAGUGGCGAACGGGUGAGUAAUGCAUCGGAACGUGCCUGGGAGUGGGGGAUAACGUAGCGAAAGUUACGCUAAUACCGCAUACGACCUGAGGGUGAAAGCGGGGGACCGUUUUAGGCCUCGUGCUCUUAGAGCGGCCGAUGUCCGAUUAGCUAGUUGGUGGGGUAAAGGCCUACCAAGGCGACGAUCGGUAGCGGGUCUGAGAGGAUGAUCCGCCACACUGGGACUGAGACACGGCCCAGACUCCUACGGGAGGCAGCAGUGGGGAAUUUUGGACAAUGGGCGCAAGCCUGAUCCAGCCAUGCCGCGUGCAGGAAGAAGGCCUUCGGGUUGUAAACUGCUUUCGGCCGGGAAGAAAUCGUCCGACCUAACACGUCGGGUGGAUGACGGUACCGGAAGAAGAAGCACCGGCUAACUACGUGCCAGCAGCCGCGGUAAUACGUAGGGUGCGAGCGUUAAUCGGAAUUACUGGGCGUAAAGGGUGCGCAGGCGGAUGUUUAAGCCAGACGUGAAAGCCCCGGGCUUAACCUGGGAGGUGCGUUUGGAACUGGACGUCUAGAGUGCGGCAGAGGGAGGUGGAAUUCCACGUGUAGCAGUGAAAUGCGUAGAGAUGUGGAGGAACACCGAUGGCGAANGCAGCCUCCUGGGCUGACACUGACGCUCAUGCACGAAAGUGUGGGGAGCAAACAGGAUUAGAUACCCUGGUAGUCCACGCCCUAAACGAUGUCGACUGGNUGUUGGGCGGGCAACCGCUUG